rnacentral:lncRNA from 1 species
GUAGAUACUAGAUUUUGGUUAAUACUGUUACUCUAAAGAAUUAUGUUACAACAUAAUAUUGUAUAGAGAACAACCAGAACAAGUAAAGUGUUACUUCACGCAGAAUAACUAUAACAAGUGAAGCGCUACUUCAAGUAUUACUUAAAGUAGAACAAUUAGAAAAAGUAAAGUAUUACUCCAUAUGGAAUAACUAAUACAAGUAGAACAACCACUUUGAAUAGAAUAACCGUUUCACUUGGAUGACAGUGAAAGUAACUCAGAAUAAGUGACAGGGUUCAUGGGUUACUUUCAUCUUGGGAUGUUUCAGAGAGUUUGGCUUGGUGGCUGAGAUAUGGAGGUAGUUAAGAGGUC